UGGUGGAUUGAUUUGUCAGGUUGAUUCCGACAACGAACGAGAUCCAAGCUUUCUAGUUCUGGGUUCCCUCCUUUGGCUGGGAAUCAUUUGGUUAGAAGGACGGUGUUGGCUUACAACAAUGAAGGGUUGGGCGAUAACA
rnacentral:rRNA from 1 species